UUGUCCACUCAUGGAUUCACAAUGCAUUACUCAUUUUCGCUCUUCAUCAUACUUAACUCUCAAAAUUCAGAGACAUGCAGAAGCAAAUUCAACAUGGGCAGCAACAAAUCCACCAAGGAAAAUUAUUAGCUUCAAAACAAGCAAGUAUGAUAUGUUGCAGCAAAAGGCAUCAGUGAAUUGCAGCAAGAAGGGUUCUUAUGCUAGAAAGGCAGAGAAAUGCUGCACUCAGUUAAGCAAUUUUGCUGAGAAGACCAAGAAGAAGGGUAGUGUUGCUGGUGCAGUAGCUCUAAUCAUUGGUACUAGCAUUGGUUCUGGGAUUCUUGUACUUCCACAGAAAGCCUCUCCUGCUGGAUUUAUUCCAAGUUCUGUAUCAGUGAUUCUAUGUUGGGUUUUUCUCCUCAUUGAAGCACUUUUGCUAGUUGAAAUCAAUGUGGCUCUGAUGAGAAACAAAGAAAAGGAAGAGGAAGACAAUGAGUUGGAGGCGAUUUCUAUCAGAACCAUGGCACAAGAAACACUAGGAGUUUGGGGUGGAUCAUUAGCAACUAUUGCUUAUGUUUUCUUGGCAUAUAGUUCCAUGGUUGCCUAUUGUUCCAAGUCUGGGGAGAUCCUUUUCAAAUUGAUGAAUAUCCCAGCACCAGUUUCUGGUUGUCUAUUUGCCUCGCUCUUCGCAAUGCUCGUCUGCUUUGGAGGAACUCGCGCCACAGAUCAAGUGAACCAAUAUCUAACUGCUUCCAUGAUUGGUUUAUUAUUGGCUAUUGAGGUGGUAGCUGUUCUGUUUGGGGGAUGGUCAGGAGUAGGGGGCAACAAUGAUUGGACAAAAGUUCCACCAACCAUUCCUGUAAUUAUUUUUUCCCUUGUGUAUCAUGAUAUAACACCAGUUCUUUGUGCUUAUUUGGAAGGCGAUCUUACCCGCAUAAGAGCUUCAGUUAUUCUUGGUAGUCUUGUUCCACUGGUGACAUUGCUUGUCUGGGAUGCAGUUGCACUUGGUUUAGCAGCUGAAGCUGAACAAGUAAUUGAUCCGGUUGAGUUGUUAUACAGGGUGAAAUGGAGUGGUGUUCCACUUAUGGUUGGAGCAUUCUCUCUUUUAGCUCUAGGCACAUCUCUUAUUGGCACCCUCCUGGCCUUCUCAGAGUUCUUUAAGGAGCAACUGAAAAGCUUAUCUUGGCAUUCCACUUCAGCACAAAAGAGCUGGUUGGGCAGGGAAAUUGGUGGGGCAGGAAUAAGGUGAAUCUUACAGCUGUCACAAUGGUAGUUGCACCUUCUUUGUUUGUCUCAACAACAUUUCCAGAUGCAUUCUCAGCUGCCACAGAUAUUGCUGGGGGCUACUGCAUGUCAGUGCUCUAUGGAGUUCUUCCACCGGCGAUGGCAUGGGCAAUGGACAAGGGUGAAUCCAAACAUUCUGGGGAAAGGGAGUUGUCCAAUGCUAGGCCUGCACUUAUUGUGGUUGGACUAUUUGCAUGUGGCAUUGUGGUGGAGCAAAUUAUUCAUGAUUUACUAGUAUUGCACCUAUAAUAUACUUCUUGGUUUCUUAUGAGAGGUACUGAAGUAGGUUCUACAAAGCACUCCCUCCUGCUUUGGCAACUGAACUAUGCUGGAUGAUUUUGAAGGAAAGAGGAGAUAUGUCAUGGUGCUGAUAGUUUGUGAAAGCACUGUUGAAGGAAUAUAGAACUUGCUACAUUCAACUCUGCAUGAUUGAACUAUGCUGGAUGAUUUUGAAUUUCUUUAGGAUGUAUACAAUAUGCUUCUCAAUCUGUAAUCUGUUCAUAAAUAUCCAUUUUUCUUCUUGUUUUGAAUACUAAGGCGCCUUGAAAAUUUUAUAUAUUGUGAAUUUUAUAAUGGACAAAAAGUUAUUUUCCUA